GACGAACGCUGGCGGCGUGCCUAAUACAUGCAAGUCGAACGCAGUGGGGACGGGUGAGUAAAACGUGGGUAACCUGCCAUCAGAGGGGAUAAAACUUGGAAACAGGUGCUCAACCGAUACGGAUGGAGGGACCCGCGGUGCAGUAGCUAGUUGGGGAGGUAACGGCUCACAAAGGCCACGAGGCAUAGCCGACCUGAGAGGUUGAUCGGCCACACUGGGACUGAGACACGGCCCAGACUCCUACGGGAGGCAGCAGUAGGGAAUCUUCGGCAAUGGACGAAAGUCUGACCGAGCCACGCCGCGUGAGUGAAGAAGGUUUUCGGAUCGGAAAACUCUGUUGUUAGAGAAGCGGUAUCUAACCAGAAAGCCACGGCUAACUCCGUGCCAGCAGCCGCGGUAAUAC
rnacentral:rRNA from 1 species